UGGAAAUCCCAAGCACAAGUAUAAAACUGCUAGUAUGGAAAGUACCCUAAGAAAGAUGCAUCUUAGAGAAAUUUUAAAUGAGGGACUGUGUGCAAAGACCCCAGCACACCACCCUGGACUAUACCAAGUGCUCAGAAGUGUGCAUCUUGGUUGAAGGGGCAGGGAAGUUAAACUAGCUACCUCCAAGACCUGGACUCUCCUCAGUCACAGAAGUUCUGUUUUGGUCAUUUGGAUUUCUCAGCAAUAAUGACCACUGGAUCCUGGUUUCCUUGGAAAGGUAGGAAUACUUUUUUUUUUGUACUGAAGAUCAAAUUUACCACUUCACAU
rnacentral:lncRNA from 1 species